rnacentral:rRNA from 1 species
UUUAUGGAGAGUUUGAUCCUGGCUCAGGAUGAACGCUGGCGGCGUGCCUAAUACAUGCAAGUCGAGCGAACAGACGGGGAGCUUGCUCCCCCGACGUUAGCGGCGGACGGGUGAGUAGCACGUGG